CGGGUGCUUGCACCUGGGGAUUAGUGGCGAACGGGUGAGUAACACGUGAGUAACCUGCCCUGGACUCUGGGAUAACCCCGAGAAAUCGGAGCUAAUACCGGAUAGGACCUUUCCUCGCAUGAGGUUUGGUGGAAAGUUUUUCGGUCUGGGAUGGACUCGCGGCCUAUCAGCUUGUUGGUGAGGUAAUGGCUCACCAAGGCGUCGACGGGUAGCCGGCCUGAGAGGGUGACCGGCCACACUGGGACUGAGACACGGCCCAGACUCCUACGGGAGGCAGCAGUGGGGAAUAUUGCACAAUGGGCGCAAGCCUGAUGCAGCAACGCCGCGUGCGGGAUGACGGCCUUCGGGUUGUAAACCGCUUUUAGUAGGGAAGAAGGGCUUCGGCUUGACGGUACCUGCAGAAAAAGGACCGGCUAACUACGUGCCAGCAGCCGCGGUAAUACGUAGGGUCCGAGCGUUGUCCGGAAUUAUUGGGCGUAAAGAGCUCGUAGGCGGUUUGUCGCGUCUGCUGUGAAAACUAGAGGCUCAACCUCUAGCCUGCAGUGGGUACGGGCAGACUUGAGUGGUGUAGGGGAGACUGGAAUUCCUGGUGUAGCGGUGGAAUGCGCAGAUAUCAGGAGGAACACCGAUGGCGAAGGCAGGUCUCUGGGCACUUACUGACGCUGAGGAGCGAAAGCGUGGGGAGCGAACAGGAUUAGAUACCCUGGUAGUCCACGCCGUAAACGUUGGGCGCUAGAUGUGGGGAC
rnacentral:rRNA from 1 species